rnacentral:lncRNA from 1 species
GGCCGUCUUUCAUUAAUAUACAGUGAGGAUUUUGUCUAAAUUACUGCUAUGAAUUUCACAGUACACGCUUUCAAAAGCCGUCUCAGGUGGCCUGAUGCAACGCGAUAGCGCCUCUGCAAAGCUACUUUCUCAAUAAUAAAAUAAAAAAAGAAGUUUAUUUUUAUUUUUAAAGGAUCUCCUGCAAUAUUGCGUGUCUCUGAACAAACAACCCUUUCAAUCGAGGUUACAGUUUUUAUUUUAUUUAUUUAUUUAUUUAAAAGGGGGGGGAACUUAAUCCUCGCCCAUCCCCCAACAAUUCAUUUCCCCACCCCCCUCUCCUUGUAGAGUGUGAUUACUUUGUCUGGAAAAAAAAAUCCGAAGUAUAACAAGGGGAGAACAGUUAGUGCUGAUUUUCAUUUGCAUAAAUUUUCAUAUAUUUUGGUGAAAAUAAUAGACUAGUGGAGAGCAGGGCUUACUGGAGUCAGUGCAAAGGAAAAUCUUACCCUGGAUCGUUUUGCAGCAGUUUUGAGGCUCACGGAUUUCCCUCUUUCCUUCACUCACCAAGAGCAAAGCCCUUCAAAUUCAAAUUCUCUAUGCCUUGGAGUUUCUUUGGAAUCUCUCUUUUCUUCAAGACCCAUUCUCUCACUCUCCAAACACCUUCGUGAACGAUUAACUUGGAGCCGUGCCAAGCAAGUGAAGCAGUUCCUGCCUAGGUGCUAGCUAUUAUUGCACUUUUGGGGGCACUGGUGUAACAUUUGGGAAAGGCGAGACAAGGAGAGGUAGGCAGAAAUGAAUCUAAGAGCUUAAAGGGGAAAGAUGAACCUGGGCUCAGCAGCUUUUAGCGUUUGCCAAUGAUCUCCAGGUUAGGGCACUUGUGGUGGAUGGUUGCUAUUUUCACCUUGCCGUAGAUAGGGCCGAUGACCCCAGUUUAGAAGGGCGGGGGGACACUCUUGGCAUCUUCCUUUAAGGGGCCGAGGCGACAAGAGGGAAACUUGGACACCUGCUGUGUGUCCUGACCAGGCUGUGGCUUGGGGGGGGGGGGGGGGGAGGAAGAGGAGGAAAGAGACGAGCGAAGCGGUGGCGGGGGGGGGGGAGGGGGGAGGGGAGGGAGGAGGUGAAGAAGAUGAAGAAGAAGAAAAAGGAGGGGAGCAAAG